ensembl:lncRNA
CAACAAAGUUAAUCAGACACAUAUUUAAUGAAAUGCAUAAUUUUGUGCUGUAUAAUAAUUAGGAACAGAUGGUAAACCAUUCACCCAAAUGACUCUUAAUAAGUCAUUUAUUAAUUACUACGUUUCAAACAAUCAAACCAAGAAUUUUGAGGGUCAACUUCAGGGAUAGGGGUAGGGAAAUCAGGAUGAGUGAGGAUUCUGCCCUGAUUCCUCUGAAAACACUCUGGUUAGGGGAGCCCAAGGCUCUUUCUUUUACAGCAGAUAGUGAUACAUACCUGGGAUGUGUGGUGUCAGCUUCCUGGUGACAAUUGCAUCCACCCCCCCAAGAGCCAAGACAGCAAAGGCAAGUACUUGAAAAUUGUAGUUUGUCCUUUUCUCCAAGAGACAUGCAAGUGAUGUGGAUUUAAGGGAGCGUUGUGCAAGGUCACCUGCCUCACUUUUCCCUCCAGAGCCAUGGGGGUCCAGUGGCCAGAUGUAGAUCAAGAUGACUGGAGAUGGCCCUGGAUACAGGGGGAGACCUCAGCCUAUUUAAAUUAAGGUCUUCAAGAGGUCUCAGUUUGACUGAGGCUGUACCCAUUCAGUAAUUUAGGUAGCAAUUGAGGCAAAGAAUCUCCUAUUUUACCUACUCAGAAAAAAAAAAAAGUCAAGAGUUCAGUAUCAAUAUGGCAGAUCUCCAGGUGAAAUAAUCCAGGGAUCUGUCCUUGGUCCUGUGCUGUUUAAUAUUUGGAUGAAGUCAAAGAUAGUAUGACUACCUGCAGAGAACACAAACUACUAACACAUUGGAUGGCAGAAAUAGAUGGGAGCUUUCUGGUAAACCUAAUAAAUUAAACUAAACAAAGGUAAAAGUCUUGCACUUAGGUAUAAAAAAAAUUCAGCUACACAAGUAUAAGAUGAAAGAAGUCAUGGAUAAACUAGAAAAUGUUCUGAAAAAGAUCUGAGGGGUUUGGAAGGAAGCACUGUAAGUUCAGUGAGGCAACUGUGUUGAAGGCAGUCAAAAAAGUUAAUGUGAUUUUGUGCUGUAUUGAGACAUAUACUUUUCAGGAAUUUUUUGUCAUUUAUCCAUUUAAAGUUGCGUCUGAUUCUCCAUGACUCCAUUUUGGAGUUUUCUUGACAGAGAUACUGGAGUGGUUUGCCAUUUCCUUCUCCAGCUCAUUUUGAAAAUAGUAGGUAAGAUAGUCCCACUGUAUUGCUUUAGAUUUCAUCUGUAGUAUUUUGUUUAGUUAUGAUACUACUGUUUAAGAAGAACACUAAUGUCCACAGGAGGGCAAUUGGAUUAAUGAAGGGUCUUGAAUCUAUGACAUAUAAGGAUUAGGUGAAAAACACAGCCAUGUUUAGAGAAGAUUCACAAGGUAUAAGAUAAUUGUCCUUAAAUAUUUGAGGGGCUAUAAUGUGGGGGAGUGAUAAGGUUUGAUUCCAGAGUACAGGAUCAGUAGUACUAGAUACUACUCAAUGUAGCAGUGGGUAGAAAUUGCAAAUAGGCCAAUUUAGACUUGAUAAUUAUCAGGAAAAACUUCCUAACAUUGAAAUGUCCAAAAAUAGAACAAGUUAUUUCAAGAAAGAGAUUCCUCUUUGGAAGUUUUCAUGCAGAAGAGUGAAGGGUAUGUGGUAGUUGUGUGUAUGGACUGGACAAGAUGGUCUCUAGUCUCAUUUAACUCUCAAAUCCUGUGAUUCUGGGAUGGACCUUUCUUCUUGUAUAAGAAACUGGCAAACUUCACUGAUCAGUGAAGCAGCUUGGAUUUCAAGUACAAAUAGAAAGUUGGUGAACCCAAAAAGAGAGAAAAGACCAACUUCUUUCUAAGGGAUUUAGUAAUUUUAGGGGCCACAAAGCUUCUUCUAGGGAUUAUGAAAAGGAGAGUAAACUAAAUGGUUUUCAUUUAAGAAUUCUUCACAUUUUAGUCUGAAAAUCUACUAGAGAUUCAUUUGGGUCAACAAAUCAUUCUUCACAGAGGGUAGUAGUCAUUUCUUAUUCAUACCUUAGCAUAAAUUAGUCUUGAACAACUUGUUUCCCUUGUAACAAUCAAAGAUACUGAAAUUUAAGGUAAGGGGUAAAGGUGAGAGAGAAAUAUACUUCUGGACCACAGAAACACUGGAAGAGAGGUCAUGAGUAUACAGAAAAUGUAGUAUGAAAAAUGGUAGGCAAACAGAAGACAGGAUAAGGGCACCUUGUGCAUGAGGGUUGGGGAAGGCAAAAGAAAAAAGAUACCAGGAUACAGGAGGCAGGAUGAGGACAGCUGGGAAGGAGGCAAAAAAGAGCUGGGAAGAAAACUCAGAAAGGGAGGCAGAAAGGGAAACAGGAAGGCUGAUGGAAAAAGAAUAGGGCAUAGAAAGAGAAGUGAAAAAAGGGGAAUCCAGGAUUGUGUUUAGCACACAGAAGAUGUGCUCAUGGUAUUUUCUGAUCCGCCCAGCCAAGCAUUAAUGUAAGUUAAAGGGAUCCAUGCUAAUCUGCCUUUCCUCUGACUCUUGGCCUACAACUUGUUCCAUUGUUCUUUCUGAUCAUACUAUUUCCAACCUUUCUAAUACAUACUACUUUAGACCCUUUGUUUUCAAAGUAUUCUCCCAAUCCUGUCUCAAGAUCACUCAGUCUUGAAGAGUCCUUUCUCCUACGAUGUUUGAAAUAGAUAAGGCAGGGGAUAUAUGUAAGCAGCAAAAAAGCCUGUGGUUCUGGCCAUGGAAGAAGAGAUAUAGGAGUUUGUAAAGAAACAUAUGGGAUCAGAGAUUUAAAGGCAUCUUUCAAUCCCUUAAUUUUUACAGAUGAGGAAACUCGGACCCAAAGAGAUUAAAUGAUUUAUCCAAUAAAAAGUUAUAUGGAUAAUAAGUGGCAGAAUUUAUACUUAGGUCUUUUGGCUCCAAAUUCAAGAUGGUAUGCACAGUGGUUAGUAUCUACCUAUGUGACCAAGAAUCUCCUUUUCAAAUUUCUUAUUUU